CGGCCGAGCGAUCCAAACAGGACGGUUCAUCCUCAGCUACAAAUUCAGUGCUUACAAGUUCAAGUCAUGAUCUGUCAGUGUUCUUACUAACACUGUGCUACUGAAUCAUUUGCUGAUGAGUUUUGAUAAUUGCCUAAAAUUGGAUUUUGUUACUUAUAAAAAAAAUAUGAUUUUCUGAUCUUUCGUCAGAAAUAUAGUGUUGAUACCGGAAGAACCUCUGCGAGGUCAGAUAGCUGUCAUAUCCAUCCCGUUAGAUAAUUAAUUCUGCUAUAGCAAUGGUGGAAAAGGAAACGAGGAAAAAACUACAAGAUUAGGAACUAUUUGCCGCUUGGAAAUAAAAUCCAGUAGGAAUCCGAAUUCAAAAAAAGUUAUCGAAAAUAUUAG